rnacentral:rRNA from 1 species
GAUGAACGCUAGCUACAGGCUUAACACAUGCAAGUCGAGGGGAAACGACAUCGAAAGCUUGCUUUUGAUGGGCGUCGACCGGCGCACGGGUGAGUAACGCGUAUCCAACCUGCCCACCACUUGGGGAUAACCUUGCGAAAGUAAGACUAAUACCCAAUGAUAUCUCUAGAAGACAUCUGAAAGAGAUUAAAGAUUUAUCGGUGAUGGAUGGGGAUGCGUCUGAUUAGCUUGUUGGCGGGGUAACGGCCCACCAAGGCAACGAUCAGUAGGGGUUCUGAGAGGAAGGUACCCCACAUUGGAACUGAGACACGGUCCAAACUCCUACGGGAGGCAGCAGUGAGGAAUAUUGGGCAAUGGACGAGAGUCUGAACCAGCCAAGUAGCGUGCAGGAAGACGGCCCUAUGGGUUGUAAACUGCUUUUAUAAGGGAAUAAAGUGAGUCUCGUGAGACUUUUUGCAUGUACCUUAUGAAUAAGGACCGGCUAAUUCCGUG